UACAGAGGUCCCAAGCGUUGUUCGGAUUCAUUGGGCGUAAAGGGUGUGUAGGUGGCGCCGUAAGUCGGGUGUGAAAUCUCGGGGCUUAACUCCGAAACUGCAUUCGAUACUGCGGUGCUUGAGGACUGGAGAGGAGACUGGAAUUCAUGGUGUAGCAGUGAAAUGCGUAGAGAUCAUGAGGAAGACCAGUGGCGAAGGCGGGUCUCUAGUACGGUACUGACGCUGAGACGCGAAAGCGUGGGGAGCAAACAGG
rnacentral:rRNA from 1 species